UUUAAUUGAAGAGUUUGAUCAUGGCUCAGAUUGAACGCUGGCGGCAGGCCUAACACAUGCAAGUCGAGCGGCAGCGACUUAACUGAACCU
rnacentral:rRNA from 1 species